rnacentral:rRNA from 1 species
CCCUUAGAUGUCCUGGGCCGCACGCGUGCUACACUGAUACGUACAAAAAGUACUCUGCUCCGAAAGGCUGCGGAUAAUCUGCAAUACGUAUCGUGAUGGGGAUAGAUCCUUGUAAUUAUGGAUCUUGAACGAGGAAUUCCUAGUAAGUGCAAGUCAUUAGCUUGCGCUGAUUAAGUCCCUGCCCUUUGUACACACCGCCCGUCGCUUCUACCGAUUGAGUGGUCCGGUGAGCCUUUUGGAUCGGCUGGCAACAGCCGAGAAAUCAAGCAAACCUUAUCACUUAGAGGAAGAACAANUCGUANCA